rnacentral:rRNA from 1 species
UACGUAGGGGGCAAGCGUUGUCCGGAAUCAUUGGGCGUAAAGAGCGUGUAGGCGGUUCGGUAAGUCUGCUGUGAAAGUCCAGGGCUCAACUCUGGAAUGCCGGUGGAAACUGUCGGGCUAGAGUCCGGAAGAGGCGAGUGGAAUUCCUGGUGUAGCGGUGAAAUGCGCAGAUAUCAGGAGGAACACCAAUGGCGAAGGCAGCUCGCUGGGACGGUACUGACGCUGAGACGCGAAAGCGUGGGGAGCAAACAGG